CAGCAGUAGGGAAUCUUCCACAAUGGACGAAAGUCUGAUGGAGCAACGCCGCGUGAGUGAAGAAGGGUUUCGGCUCGUAAAGCUCUGUUGGUAGUGAAGAAAGAUAGAGGUAGUAACUGGCCUUUAUUUGACGGUAAUUACUUAGAAAGUCACGGCUAACUACGUGCC
rnacentral:rRNA from 1 species